AAUGCCACAAAAUCAGACCUUAUGCCGCUCAAUCUCGACUCUUCCACCAUAAACACCCUCAAACGCAGAUUCCCCUUUCGUAUCUGCCCGACGACUAUAACGUACUUAGGCAUCCAAAUAACCAACGACACCAACAAUUUAUACGCCUCCAACUACCCCCCCCCAUUACACAAAGCUCUCCUGGACCUUGAACGUUGGCAGCCCAUGACCAUCUCGUGGCUCGGGAGGAUAGCCUCGAUUAAAAUGAACAUACUUCCCAAAUUCCCCUAUGCCUUCCAAGCACUACCCAUCCCCUCAAAAAACACGACCUUAAACUCUUACAAACGGCAAUAGACCGAUUUAUCUGGAAGGGCAGGAGGCCCAGAGUCCGCAGAACCACACUGUAUGUACCAACACCCUCCGGAGGACUAGGUCUCCCCAACUUCAUGCACUAUCUACAUGCCGCCCACCUCACACAAAUCCAACACUGGCACCUUCCCCCCGCCCACAAGAGGUGGGUAGACCUAGAGCACCUCAUCCUUGGUUGGGACCACCCCUCCCAAUACAUGUGGAUCCCAAAACAGCAUAGACCUCUGCCUCCCCCCACCUCUCCAACGAUUACCCAUUCCUUGGACCUCUGGGAUCGCCUAAGCGCCAAAUUCGACCUAUCUACUGGCCUAUCGCCCCUCACCCCAAUCCUCCGUAAUAAAAUGUUCCCACCCGGCCUUACUCCGAGGCACUAUGCUCACUUCGAAGACAGAGACAUAGUUAGACUAGGACACCUUUACCCCAAU